rnacentral:rRNA from 1 species
GAUUCAUGAUAACUUCGCGAAUCGCACAGCCUUGCGCUGGCGAUGGUUCAAUCAAGUUUCUUCCCUAUCAACUUUCGAUGUUUGGGUAUUGGCCAAACAUGGUUGCAACGGGUAACGGAGGGUUAGGGCUCGACCCCGGAGAAGGAGCCUGAGAAACGGCUACUACAUCCAAGGAAGGCAGCAGGCGCGCAAAUUACCCAAUCCCGACACGGGGAGGUAGUGACAAUAAAUACUGAUACAGGGCUCUAUUGGGUCUUGUAAUUGGAAUGAGUACAAUCUAAAUCUCUUAACGAGGAACAAUUGGAGGGCAAGUCUGGUGCCAGCAGCCGCGGUAAUUCCAGCUCCAAUAGCGUAUAUUAAAGUUGUUGUGGUUAAAAAGCUCGUAGUUGAACCUUGGGCCUGGCUGGCCGGUCUGCCUCACCGCACGCACUGGACCGGCCGGGCCUUUCCCUCUGUGGAACCUCAUGCUCUUCACUGGGCGUGACGGGGAACCAGGACUUUUAC